rfam:Triticum urartu cultivar G1812 contig592880, whole genome shotgun sequence.
CUUAUACUCCCUCCGUCCGGAAAAGCUUGUCCCAAUCUUGUUUCUCAAAUGGAUGUAUCUGGCACUAACUUAGUGCUAGAUACAUUCAUUUGAGGGACAAACUUUUUCAGACGGAGGGAGUAUUUC